AUACGUAGGGGGCAAGCGUUAUCCGGAUUUACUGGGUGUAAAGGGAGCGUAGACGGUAAAGCAAGUCUGAAGUGAAAGCUCGGGGCUCAACCCCGGAACUGCUUUGGAAACUGUUUUACUGGAGUGCAGGAGAGGUAAGCGGAAUUUCUAGUGUAGCGGUGAAAUGCGUAGAUAUUAGGAGGAACACCAGAGGCGAAGGCGGCUUACUGGACUGUAACUGACGUGGAGGCUCGAAGGCGUGGGGAGCAAACAGGAUUAGAUACCCUGGUAGUCCACGCGGUAAACGAUGAUCACUAGGUGUCGGCGGCCAUAGGCGGUCGGUGCCGCAGCAAACGCAAUAAGUUAUCCACCUGGGGAGUACGGUCGCAAGAAUGAAACUCAAAUGAAUUGGCGGGG
rnacentral:rRNA from 1 species